rnacentral:tRNA from 3 species
GCCGGUGUGAUGGAAUGGUAGACGUAGCGGAUUCAAAAUCCGCCGAUGGCGACAUCGUGUGGGUUCGAGUCCCACCACCGGCACCA